rnacentral:rRNA from 1 species
AUUGAACGCUGGCGGCAGGCCUAACACAUGCAAGUCGAGCGAGCGGCGGAGGGGGGAGAAAUGUCUGGGAAACUGCGUGAUGGAGGGGGAGAACUACUGGAAAAGGUAGCUAAUAUCGCAUACCAUCAGAUGUGCCCAGAUGGGAUUAGCUAGUGGGUGGGGUAACGGCUCACCUAGGAGACGAUCCCUAGCUGGUCUGAGAGGAUGACCAGCCACACUGGCACUGAGACACGGCCCAGACUCCUACGGGAGGCAGCAGUGGGGAAUAUUGCACAAUGGGCGCAAGCCUGAUGCAGCCAUGCCGCGUGUGUGAAGAAGGCCUUCGGGUUGUAAAGCACUUUCAGCGGGGAGGCGUUACCCGCAGAAGAAGCACCGGCUAACUCCGUGCCAGCAGCCGCGGUAAUUC